rfam:Brassica napus, WGS project CCCW01000000 data, contig: 15336
UCGAGGUGAACAUAGAAUGUCCACAAGUCUCUCAAUCCCGUGAGACAUAUUGUGAUGUUAUUGUGAUAACUCUUGAGAUGCUGAUCGA